rnacentral:rRNA from 1 species
AUGCAGGCGCAGAUCGAGCGGGUGCUGCCGCUCUCCAGGGCCCUCGCCGCCGCGCACCGGCAAGUGCAGGAUGCCAAGGAGGGAUUAUCCGUGGAGAGGGCGCGGCUUGGGGAUCUGCAGAGGCUGCUCACGACGAGGCAGCAGUCCAUGGUAGCCCAGGUCGCCGCCCUGUACCCUGUCAGGGUCUUCCGUGACCUGCCGGUUGCACAAAACCACCAUUCCCGUACCAAUGGAGAGUGUCGAAUACCUUCGGAAGAGAAUGGGGCACUUACGCAAGAGAAUGGAAAUGGAACACAUUUGCUCAGCGUUAUCAAGGACAAAGCACAUGUAAGCAGCGUUGGACCCUUGACAUUUUUUGGUUGGCAAAUUGGAAAGCCCAGGACAAAGCAGCGGACUUACAGCCACAAGGAGCUUCAGUGGUCAGCAGUUGUGCUUGGAUAUGCAGCACAUAUCGGUCGACAUGGGCGGGGCUGGUGGCGAUCCCCAGUCGGGCUACAUAGGGCCGACGACGAUCUGGACAGGGGCGGUUUGAGGCGCUCGCGCACAUCGGAGGUACAGUGGCGGCCGCGUCCUGCAUCAAAGGUGCGGCUAGGAAUCAGAGGAGGAUAUGGGAGGGCAAGAGGAAGGGACCGGGGAGGGGCUCACUGA